AACGAACGCUGGCGGCAUGCCUAACACAUGCAAGUCGAACGAUGCUUUCGGGCAUAGUGGCGCACGGGCGCGUAACGCGUGGGAAUCUGCCCUUGGGUUCGGAAUAACAGUUGGAAACGACUGCUAAUACCGGAUGAAGACGAAAGUCCAAAGAUUUAUCGCUUGAGGAUGAGCCCGCGUAAGAUUAGGUAGUUGGUGGGGUAAAGGCCUACCAAGCCGACGAUCUUUAGCUGGUCUGAGAGGAUGAUCAGCCACACUGGGACUGAGACACGGCCCAGACUCCUACGGGAGGCAGCAGUGGGGAAUAUUGGACAAUGGGCGAAAGCCUGAUCCAGCAAUGCCGCGUGAGUGAUGAAGGCCUUAGGGUUGUAAAGCUCUUUUACCCGGGAUGAUAAUGACAGUACCGGGAGAAUAAGCCCCGGCUAACUCCGUGCCAGCCGCCGCAGUAA
rnacentral:rRNA from 1 species